GAGUCGCAUUUCAAAGUGUGACCGAUAAGAUUUGGCAGAGUUAGCCAGUAUUUCAGAAAAUGGACUAGAGUCAUAGAGAUGCUACUAUUGUUCUCGUCUUCACGUUUAUACUUUUACUUUGGACUCCUGAGACGUACGGCUUUUGUGACUCUGCCACAACCUACUAUUCCCAACACAUCCCUGACAGCUGCAAGCAUCUUUGGGGAAGUGUCCCCUCAAGUUCCUGUUUCCAGUCAUUAAUGCAAAAGAAAGAAAAACGCUAGAGGCACUGAGAACCAUCCAACGCUUCAGCUGGCUUCAGCAAUUGCCACUUGCGCAAGACCCGUGUUUGUGAAAGCAACCCAAGAAUCUUUGAACAGGAUGUAAUCAACCUCCGAUCUGCUGAGAAACACUGCAAAAAUGACUUCCCCUGCCAAAAAUAAUAAUGUCGUUUAUGAGCAGCCCUUCCAUGUCUAAGGAAGAAGUAGCCCCACGUGUGAGUUUCUGCUGGCUUCAGAGGAGCAGGCGAAGAAAAGGGCAAAUCCUACCAACCCCAGCCUAAAAUACACGGCAUCAGAACGCACGGCAAGCUGUGGCUCAUUCCAAAGGUGCUGGCAAUAUCCGGGAAGACUCCUAUCCGCAAAAAUCCAAAGGAAUGAACCUGAAGACUGAAACUGCAGCCGCUGUGUGGUGACCCGGAGGGGACAAGGGAGAGGACAAAGGCCCGUGAGUCUUUUCAUCCUGCAUGUGCAAUUUUAACCAUGAUGGAAGGAGAGACUCUCUGGUCCAAAAAACUCAACAUAUUUCUUAUCCACAGACACAGGUCACGGAUUUUUCAAUAUUGCAAAUCAUAGUAAAAGAGGCACUUUAUCAUCUCCCGUCAUCACAAGAAAAAGAAGGACUUUUUCAGGUUUGUUGACUGGCUGAAGAGUGGAUUGGUACAGAAAGAAGCUGGAGUCGGGCAAAACAAUUAAGAAGUGAGUGCAAUUAUCUGGGAGAGGAAAAUUAAGAGCAUACCCUAAAGUAGUGUUUCUCACAUUUGUUGCAUACCAUAAUCGUGUGAAUGGUUAGUAAAGCCCACAGAGGCCCAGGCCCCUUGAUGUAGGAGGGCUCAUGGGCCUUUGUAUUUGUACCAAUACAGUUUCCCCAGGGGAUUCUGAAACCCAUACAUGUGAGAACCACUGAAGUGAAUUUAAGAUAGUGAGAUGUAGUCUUGAUAAAGGUGAAUGAUUUUUUUUCUUUUGAGGCGGGGGAUGGGUACAAGUAAGGAGUAUAUGCUAAAUUCUAGGUUAUUGGCCACAAUAGCCAGUUCUGCCAUUGGCUAGAAUGGAAAGAGAUCAUUAGUUUUGCAUCUUUGUUAUUGGGAUUAAAGUUAGUCUCGUUCUCAUUUUAUUGGUGUCUCUCCUCUACAAAAUCUAUCCCAGUUGGUCCGUGAAGAGCUGGGGUCGGAAUCCCUCCUGCCAUGAUGAAAGAGAUUAUAAUAGAACUCACAUUCCCCCUCUGUGAUAAGGUCUUACCAAUUCACAAGUGAGAAGUUGUAUGUAUCUCAGAAUUACAUGCUUUUUCUCUACGUGUGUUGUGUCACUGUCCACUUCAUUUCCCUAUGAAAGAAAAAGCAUGUGACGUUCACUACAGUGCUUCUUAUUUUGGUAGUGUUAGGUAUCUGCCCAUUUGUUGCCACAUCUUUUGCGAUUCAUAGAAGUUUACUCUGAGCACCCAAACUCUGGAUAAUAUUAAAUCUUGUGGGGGCGCCUGGGUGGCUCAGUCGGUUGGGCGAC